rnacentral:tRNA from 1 species
GGGCGAUUAGCUCAGCUGGUAGAGCAUCUCCCUUACAAGGAGGUGGUCGGCAGUUCGAAUCUGUCAUCGCCCACCA